ensembl:snoRNA SNORA62 Small nucleolar RNA SNORA62/SNORA6 family
GCUGCACACUAUUAAAGCUCAGGGUUGAGGCCAGAGGUGGCCAAUGAACUUCUGAGUGUCGGAAGUGUGCUAUAAAAACUGCAAGAUUUUCGCUAACACCAGUAGAGCUUGUCUCUGUGACUGGAGUUUGAUAGUACUCUCUGCUACAUUC